ensembl:lncRNA
CCUCAUCAGGAAGCAGCCUACAGGUCACAUGACCAUCCAGCAUGUUUCCAGGUCUGAUGAAGGCCUCUACAAGUGUGACAUCAGCGGUCAUGGAGAGUCUCCAUCCAGCUGGAUCACUGUCACAGACAAACACACCACCACACCUCCAUCUACAUCCACACCUCCUGCUGUUCUCUCUGUGUUGUCAUGUGUUGGAUCAGUCUGUGUUGUUGUUCUACUGGUGUUACUAGUGAGACGAUAUGUUCACAAAAAUCCUGAAGUAGCCAACUUCUCAUCAAUGUGUCCUGGUUUCUCAACACCUGAUGCAGCUCUUGUUAAUGCGGGUGAUGCCCAAGCUGAGAGUGAUUCAACUGUAAUCUACUCAACAGUGAGAACACAACCCACCAAUUAUGAACAAAUAACCAUCACACCAAAGACGACCAGAGACUUUAAUCCAGAGCCAGAUGUCAUCUACACUUCACUGAAGUAGUCCACCAGUCCACCCAACUGGUCAGACCAGCUCUGGAGCCCAGACGACAUCCACAAUUUCAAAAGAUUACUCUAUGUAUUUUAUGUCUUUUUCCCAUUUUUUAGACUCAUGUGCUUUAAGAAAUCACAUAAGCAUAACCGGAAUUAUGUAAGUACUUAAAAUGAACAAUGGUAAUAAACUCAGUCUAUCAGUUUGGCACUUUGUUCUUUUUCUCAUGCUAGCGAUUUUGUUUCACUGUAGGAUUAAUAAAUGUGUGGUUACAGUGUAAAUUUGGUUCUCUGAGUGAGAGAUUAUGUCUCCACUCCAUUACAUAUUCCAUAUGUACAUUAUAAGACCUGCGCUUCUUGGAUUCAGACAGAGCCCCAGAGCCUAAACAUGGAAGACCAGGAGGGCAACAUGGCUGUGGCACUGUUCUGCUGACGAGGCGCAGGCCAGCCAGUCGUCCAGGAAUCAGGAGCAGAGUGUGUGUUCUUGAACGAGUGGAGUCACGGUCUGGGAACGGGAGUUUUUGGAGAUGUUGUAUUUUCACCUUUUCAUGAACACAGUGCCUGAGAUUUGUACAUAAUUGUAUUUCUUUGCCAACUGUAAAUAAACCUCACCAUUCUUCACCAUUCUUCAUCAGAGUACUGCCUUUUGGAUCCUCCUUCUCACUGCAACUCCACUGUCUGCCACUGCAGUCUGCUAUAGACAAACUGUCACAGCUUUAGACAAC